rnacentral:rRNA from 1 species
CGCGUAGGCGGGUGUUUAAGUCAGAGGUUAAAUCCCAGGGCUCAACCCUGGAACUGCCUUUGAUACUGGGCACCUAGAGUAUGGGAGAGGUGAGUGGAACUCCGAGUGUAGAGGUGAAAUUCGUAGAUAUUCGGAAGAACACCAGUGGCGAAGGCGACUCACUGGCCCAUUACUGACGCUGAUGCGCGAAAGCGUGGGGAGCAAACAGGAUUAGAUACCCUGGUAGUCCACGCCGUAAACGAUGAGUGCUAGUUGUCGGCAUGCAUGCAUGUCGGUGACGCAGCUAACGCAUUAAGCACUCCGCCUGGGGAGUACGGUCGCAAGAUUAAA